rnacentral:rRNA from 1 species
CCUACGGGUGGCAGCAGUCGAGAAUCAUUCACAAUGGGGGAAACCCUGAUGGUGCGACGCCGCGUGGGGGAAUGAAGGUCUUCGGAUUGUAAACCCUUGUCAUGUGGGAGCAAAUUAAAAAGCUAGUACAACAAGAGGAAGAGACGGCUAACUCUGUGCCCGCAGCCGCGGUAAUACAGAGGUCUCAAGCGUUGUUCGGAAUCACUGGACGUAAAGCGUGCGUAGGCUGUUUCGUAAGUCGGGUGUGAAAGGCGCGGGCACAACCCGCGGACGGCACAUGAUACUGCGAGACUGGAGUGAGGGAGGGGGAAGCGGAAUUCUCGGUGUAGCAGUGAAAUGCGUAGAUAUCGAGAGGAACACUCGUGGCGAAGGCGGGUUCCUGGACAUUAACUGACGCUGAGGCACGAAGGCCAGGGGAGCGAAAGGGAUUAGAUACCCCUGUAGUC